AUUGAACGCUGGCGGCAGGCCUAACACAUGCAAGUCGAGCGGAUGAAGGGAGCUUGCUCCUGGAUUCAGCGGCGGACGGGUGAGUAAUGCCUAGGAAUCUGCCUGGUAGUGGGGGAUAACGUCCGGAAACGGGCGCUAAUACCGCAUACGUCCUGAGGGAGAAAGUGGGGGAUCUUCGGACCUCACGCUAUCGGAUGAGCCUAGGUCGGAUUAGCUAGUUGGUGGGGUAAAGGCCUACCAAGGCGACGAUCCGUAACUGGUCUGAGAGGAUGAUCAGUCACACUGGAACUGAGACACGGUCCAGACUCCUACGGGAGGCAGCAGUGGGGAAUAUUGGACAAUGGGCGAAAGCCUGAUCCAACCAUGCCGCGUGUGUGAAGAAGGUCUUCGGAUUGUAAAGCACUUUAAGUUGGGAGGAAGGGCAGUAAGUUAAUACCUUGCUGUUUUGACGUUACCAACAGAAUAAGCACCGGCUAACUUCGUG
rnacentral:rRNA from 1 species